GCGAAAGUGGCGGAAUUGGUAGACGCACUGGAUUUAGGUUCCAGCGCCGCAAGGCGUGCGGGUUCGAGUCCCGCCUUUCGCACCA
rnacentral:tRNA from 6 species